UUGGAGGGCAAGUCUGGUGCCAGCAGCCGCGGUAAUUCCAGCUCCAAUAGCGUAUAUUAAAGUUGUUGCAGUUAAAAAGCUCGUAGUUGAAUUUCGGGAUCAAUACGUCGGUCGUGCUUUCGGGUACGUACUGGCGUCAUUGGUUUCUCCUUUCUGACGAACCAUGAUGUCAUUAAUUUGGUGUUAUGGAGAGUUAGGACUGUUACUUUGAAAAAAUUAGAGUGUUUAAAGCAGGCAUUAGCUUGAAUACAUUAGCAUGGAAUAAUGAAAUAGGACGUUCGAUCCUAUUUUGUUGGUUUCUAGGAUCAACGUAAUGAUUAAUAGGGAUUGUUGGGGGCAUUAGUAUUCGAUUGUCAGAGGUGAAAUUCUUGGAUUUAUUGAAGACUAACUACUGCGAAAGCAUUUGCCAAGGAUGUUUUCAUUAAUCAAGAACGAAAGUUAGGGGAUCGAAGACGAUCAGAUACCGUCGUAGUCUUAACCAUAAACUAUGCCGACUAGGGAUCGGAUGAUGUUAAUUUUUUAAUGACUCAUUCGGCGCCUUACGGGAAAC
rnacentral:rRNA from 1 species